UUAUAAGUGCAAUCAAAGCUGAGAAUAGUGAGAUGACCAGAGAGCUCUGCGAGCCAUGUAUCCCAAGAUCGCUUCAGUCAUAACAAAUCUGGGAGAGGCCCCAUGAUGGACAGCUGGUUUACAGCCGAUGUCAGGCAUUAACAGAUUUGAUCCGCACCGGAGGAGGAGGGCGGGCAGCCGCGGCCGGACGGAGCCGUGGGUGGCGGGCGUCUCACGCCAACGGCUUCGCCGUGAUUCAUGGCUCGGGGAGGAUUUCCAGCUUCACAUCCGCAGAUUUACUGCGCUGUACGAGUUCAGUGUGUGCGCAGAAAUACUGGGCGAACGGAGUCAGAGGGCUGAAAGUGCGCUUGGAAAGAUGGAACGAAGGAUAAGGGGAGAACGGAGCGCAGAAUCCGAUACACCACAAGCCCCAACACUCUUCUGAUUGCAGCGAUUUCUGUUGACCCUGAGAAGGCCACGGUGUUGGCAGCUGCCGCAAACUAAUCUUCCGUUGCUAAAUUCUGCAUGCAUCCACAAGCAAAUGACAAUGACAGCGAUGGGGCAAUCAGGAGCUAUGCUGUACUAUGGUGCAUCUUCAGAAGCUGCCUUGGAGCUUGGAUCCGUCGCAUAAUGCAGCGACUACCAAUGCACAUGGAAUGUAAAAGACUGGUCAUUUGUGUGGCCCCAAGCACAGAUGACCAGUCAUAUGCAAACUAUGCUUCAUGACUGUCCCUGCGAGGUUUGGCUUCACUUAUUGUACUGUGCAUGUCAAUCUCAAGUGGCCUAAAGGAUUCAUUUAAUGUGUGGAAAAGAUAUAGAUGUAUGUUGUGCAUUGAUGGAGCAAGGAACUAGUAAUAUUGAGCACUAGAAGGCACACAUAAUGGCGAGAAACCUCUAAAGUCCGUGAUCUAAUGGUGUGUGAAGGCUUGUGUGCGUGUGUGUAGGUGCGUGUGGGUGUGUGUGUGUGUGUGUGGGUGUGUUGUGUUUUCAGCACAAUAAGGUAAUAAUAUUGUUUGAAAAUGGUGAAAUCACACAAAUAUGAAGACUGCUGUUUGUCCUUUUGACA